rnacentral:rRNA from 1 species
UUAUUGGAGAGUUUGAUCCUGGCUCAGGACGAACGCUGGCGGCGUGCCUAAUACAUGCAAGUCGAGCGAGUCUCUUCGGAGGCUAGCGGCGGACGGGUGAGUAACACGUAGGCAACCUGCCUCUCAGACUGGGAUAACAAAGGGAAACUUAUGCUAAUACCGGAUAGGU